rnacentral:sRNA from 1 species
AAGGAGCCUUACAUCUUGGCGAAACAAGAUGAUG